rnacentral:rRNA from 1 species
GACGAACGCUGGCGGCGUGCCUAAUACAUGCAAGUAGAACGCUGAAGGAGGAGCUUGCUUCUCUGGAUGAGUUGCGAACGGGUGAGUAACGCGUAGGUAACCUACCUGGUAGCGGGGGAUAACUAUUGGAAACGAUAGCUAAUACCGCAUAAGAGUAGAUGUUGCAUGACAUUUGCUUAAAAGGUGCAAUUGCAUCACUACCAGAUGGACCUGCGUUGUAUUAGCUAGUUGGUGGGGUAACGGCUUACCAAGGCGACGAUACAUAGCCGACCUGAGAGGGUGAUCGGCCACACUGGGACUGAGACACGGCCCAGACUCCUACGGGAGGCAGCAGUAGGGAAUCUUCGGCAAUGGACGGAAGUCUGACCGAGCAACGCCGCGUGAGUGAAGAAGGUUUUCGGAUCGUAAAGCUCUGUUGUAAGAGAAGAACGAGUGUGAGAGUGGAAAGUUCACACUGUGACGGUAUCUUACCAGAAAGGGACGGCUAACUACGUG